rnacentral:rRNA from 1 species
AGCAGUGGGGAAUAUUGCACAAUGGGCGCAAGCCUGAUGCAGCCAUGCCGCGUGUGUGAAGAAGGCCUUCGGGUUGUAAAGCACUUUCAGUCGUGAGGAAGGUAGUGUAGUUAAUAGCUGCAUUACUUGACGUUAGCGACAGAAGAAGCACCGGCUAACUCCGUGCCAGCAGCCGCGGUAAUACGGAGGGUGCGAGCGUUAAUCGGAAUUACUGGGCGUAAAGCGCAUG